AGCGAACGCUGGCGGCAGGCUUAACACAUGCAAGUCGAGCGCCUGUAGCAAUACAGGAGCGGCAGACGGGAGAGUAACACGUGGGAACGUACCUUUUGGUUCGGAACAACUGAGGGAAACUUCAGCUAAUACCGGAUAAGCCCUUACGGGGAAAGAUUUAUCGCCAAGAGAUCGGCCCGCGUCUGAUUAGCUAGUUGGUGAGGUAACGGCUCACCAAGGCGACGAUCAGUAGCUGGCUGAGAGGAUGACCAGCCUCAUUGGGACUGAGACACGGCCCAAACUCCUACGGGAGGCAGCAGUGGGGAAUAUUGGACAAUGGGCGCAAGCCUGAUCCAGCCAUGCCGCGUGAGUGAUGAAGGCCUUAGGGUUGUAAAGCUCUUUUAGCAGGGAAGAUAAUGACGGUACCUGCAGAAAAGCCCCGGCUAACUUCGUGCCAGCAGCCG
rnacentral:rRNA from 1 species